rnacentral:ribozyme from 1 species
CGGACUCCAUGGAAGGGGCACCCCCUUCGCUCCACACGACGAACUGCUGCCGCGCCACGCGCCCCCACUUCCGAGCGGCUCGAGCCAGAACCCAA